rnacentral:rRNA from 1 species
GACGAACGCUGGCGGCGUGCUUAACACAUGCAAGUCGAACGGAAAGGCCCUGCUUUUGUGGGGUGCUCGAGUGGCGAACGGGUGAGUAACACGUGAGUAACCUGCCCUUGACUUUGGGAUAACUUCAGGAAACUGGGGCUAAUACCGGAUAGGAGCUCCUGCUGCAUGGUGGGGGUUGGAAAGUUUCGGCGGUUGGGGAUGGACUCGCGGCUUAUCAGCUUGUUGGUGGGGUAGUGGCUUACCAAGGCUUUGACGGGUAGCCGGCCUGAGAGGGUGACCGGCCACAUUGGGACUGAGAUACGGCCCAGACUCCUACGGGAGGUAGCAGUGGGGAAUAUUGCACAAUGGGCGGAAGCCUGAUGCAGCAACGCCGCGUGCGGGAUGACGGCCUUCGGGUUGUAAACCGCUUUCGCCUGUGACGAAGCGUGAGUGACGGUAAUGGGUAAAGAAGCACCGGCUAACUACG